rnacentral:rRNA from 1 species
GACAGAGGUGCCGAGCGUUAGGCGGAAUCACUGGGCUUAAAGCGUGUGUAGGCGGGCGGGCAAGUACCUUGUGAAAUCCCACGGCUCAACCGUGGAACGGCUGGGUAUACUGCCUGUCUUGAGCCAACUAGGGGCGAGCGGAACAGACGGUGGAGCGGUGAAAUGCGUAGAUAUCGUCUGGAACGCCAAAGGUGAAAACAGCUCGCUAGGGUUGUGCUGACGCUGAGACGCGAAAGCGUGGGGAGCAAACAGG